UGUUAGGGAAGUCAUCCUCUUAUCCAGUGUCUUUCUGUCAGGUGCCUCUAUGUGGCAAGCAUUGUUCCAGGAGAGAUGAAUAGUCACUGCAGAGGAGAGACUAUGGUCAGGAUUCAGAUGGUCAGUUAAGCCCAAGGCAUUGUGGGAGCGUCGAGGGGGUGGGGCAGGGAGUGUGCUGAGGUGGAUUUAUCAGAUUGUAUAGGGCUUGGCCUAGAAGAGGUUAGGAUAGAUCUAAGCCAUCCUGAAUGCAGCAGUAGUUAAGGGACUGGCAGUUUAGAGAGUCACACAUUGCUAGAGGGAAUUCAAGAGUCCAGGCAAGGAUAAGAAUCUAGGGGUUUCUAGGAGAAGGAGGAGUAAGGGAACAUCAACCGACUCAUCACAUUGGAUGAGAGAGGGCAAGGGUGGGCAGGGAGAGGGAGAGAGAGUAUAAAUGUGUGUUAUGAUGCCAUGGCAGAAGCCCGAGGAAGAGACACAGCCAAGACUCGAGAAGGCUAAAGCACAUGACUCAGUAUCCACAGCCUUUCUUCCAUCAAUGACUCAGUCUCUGAGAAACCCUUAAAGGCCUUCUUAAAGAUACCUUCUGUGUAUCACUGGCAGCCAGGAAAGAAGAUAAAGUGACCUUCACCUCAAGAGGAGUCAUAGAACCUUCUUAGUCACAUCAAGCAGAAGAGACGACUUCCUGAUGAGCAUGCGGCUACGUCUUUCACAGGUUUGUUCCAAGUGUCCAGGAUUUUUUUAACAUGUGAGUCAUAUAGUUUAUAGAACGUGCCCUUCCAAAGAUGACAGGACUUAUUCCAUGCACUACUAUCAAACUCCUGGCACUCCUCUGGCCACCAAAGUUGCUCUUCUCUAUCUUACAGUCCAUAUUUCUAUUCACUUUUCCAGUGAGUCAAGAAACACCUGCAGUUUUAGCAGUAGACUCAGUCAGCCAAAUUUAAAUCAAGCUGACUUGAAUCAUUUAAAUCAUCAGUCAAGAAAAACUGCUAUCUUUUAAAAUUAAAGAACGCAUGCUCAUUUUUGCCACAAUGGCGAUCAACUUCAUAAAACUCACAGGUGGAUUAUUAUUUAAGGAUAGGGAGAGGAGAUCUC